rnacentral:rRNA from 1 species
UUGAUCCUGGCUCAGGAUGAACGCUGGCGGUCUGCUUAACACAUGCAAGUCGAACGGAAUCCUUAGGGAUUUAGUGGCGGACGGGUGAGUAACACGUAAGAACCUGCCUCUAGGACGGGGACAACAGUUGGAAACGACUGCUAAACCCGGAUGAGCCGAAAGGUAAAAGAUUAAUCGCCUAGAGAGGGGCUUGCGUCUGAUUAGCUAGUUGGUGAGGUAAGAGCCCACCAAGGCGACGAUCAGUAGCUGGUCUGAGAGGAUGAUCAGCCACACUGGGACUGAGACACGGCCCAGACUCCUACGGGAGGCAGCAGUGGGGAAUUUUCCGCAAUGGGCGAAAGCCUGACGGAGCAAGACCGCGUGGGGGAGGAAGGUUCUUGGAUUGUCAACCCCUUUUCUCAGGGAAGAACACAAUGACGGUACCUGAGGAAAAAGCAUCGGCUAACUCCGUGCCAGCAGCCGCGGUAAUACGGGGGAUGCAAGCGUUAUCCGGAAUGAUUGGGCGUAAAGAGUCCGUAGGUAGUCAUCCAAGUCUGCUGUUAAAGAGCGAGGCUUAACCUCGUAAAGGCAGUGGAAACUGGAAGACUAGAGUGUAGUAGGGGCAGAGGGAAUUCCUGGUGUAGCGGUGAAAUGCGUAGAGAUCAGGAAGAACACCGGUGGCGAAGGCGCUCUGCUGGGCUAUAACUGACACUGAGGGACGAAAGCUAGGGGAGCGAAUGGGAUUAGAUACCCCAGUAGUCCUAGCGGUAAACGAUGGAAACUAGGUGUGGCCUGUAUCGACCCGGGCCGUGCCGAAGCAAACGCGUUAAGUUUCCCGCCUGGGGAGUACGCACGCAAGUGUGAAACUCAAAGGAAUUGACGGGGGCCCGCACAAGCGGUGGAGUAUGUGGUUUAAUUCGAUGCAACGCGAAGAACCUUACCAGGACUUGACAUCUCUGGAAUCUCCUUGAAAGGGGAGAGUGCCGUAAGGAACCAGAAGACAGGUGCUGCAUGGCUGUCGUCAGCUCGUGUCGUGAGAUGUUGGGUUAAGUCCCGCAACGAGCGCAACCCUCGUCGUUAGUUGCCAUCAUUAAGUUGGGAACUCUAGCGAGACUGCCGGUGACAAACCGGAGGAAGGUGAGGAUGACGUCAAGUCAGCAUGGCCCUUACGUCCUGGGCGACACACGUACUACAAUGCGAGGGACACAGAGCAGCCAACCCGCGAGGGAGAGCGAAUCUCACAAACCCUGGCACAGUUCAGAUUGCAGGCUGCAACUCGCCUGCAUGAAGGAGGAAUCGCUAGUAAUCGCAGGUCAGCAUACUGCGGUGAAUCCGUUCCCGGGCCUUGUACACACCGCCCGUCACACCAUGGAAGUGAGCCACGCCCGAAGUCAUUACUCUAACCCUUUCGGGGGAGGAGGGUGCCGAAGGCGGGGUUGAUGACUGGGGUGAAGUCGUAACAAGGUAGCCGUA